CACAACUACAACAUCAGCGACUCCCCUGUCCUCCCCCUUUUCCAGUAACGGCGCCUGCAAGUUUCUUUGUUUUGAUACCAUAAAACAAGCCAGAUGCCGACUUAAUCCCCACAGAUGGAGAGGAUUUGCAAACACAUCCAGUGAGUUCCCCGGCUGUGAGUCUACAGCUGAGCUGCUACCACAUGCACAGAGCUCAACUGGAAGGGAUGGGAUAAAAAAGUGGAGGUGUGUUUGUGUAGGGGGGGACCUCACAUGUAAUUGGUUCAGUAUGUAUAGUUUAGAAGCUGACAAGGUGUCAAUGUUUGCAUGCGUCCACAUGUGUCCACACACUCAGCCCAUCUGAAUGACUACACACUGGCCAGGAAGGCAGAAUUCCAACACUCCUUGGAACGCAACAUGCUGCAGUAUGUAAAGAACAAGAUCAAGCACAGGUUACUACAUUCUGCAACACAGUUGGAUCAUAUGAUAUACAAGCAUCAAUGCAAAACCACCCAAAAAGUAUCUUAGCAGUCAAGAAUGUGACUGGAAUAUCACAAAAAAUACUAAUUUACUAUUGCACUUUCACACCACGCAUGCAGCUAUCGCAAUGAGACAUCUUACACUGAACUAUAAUUAUGGAAUGCAGGUACAAAGGCACAAACCCCAUCCACAAAUCCAUACAAAUCCCACAAUACUGGGUGUGUCACAGAUCCCCCAACUUACUGUAGUUCAUCCUACACUGAAUGCUAUCCUUUAGGGUGCACUGUAGAAGAGUCACAUUUCAUCAUGUCCCCAGUCCUUAAAUGCAUUGCCAGAGACCCCCCUUAAGUUCCCCAUGCACCCAUUACCUCAAAGUCUUCUCACUGACAGCAACAGCUAGAAAAUUACUCUCCAUGAUAAACUUAUUCUUAAACAAUAAAGUAUGACUCCAACUUACAACAACAACAACAACAA